UCUAUUUUAAUCCAAGGGUCAAAACUAUUCUUUUAUCUAUCUUCAACCUUCUUUUUCAUUGGUUGAUUUGCUUUCUCAAAGAUCACAAUUUGUAACCAUUGAUGAAAUAUAAUCCAAAGGCCACAAAUAAAUCUCUCUCUUUCUCAUUAAUAUUUUCAUUUAACGUCGUCUUCUUUUUCUAUUUUAUUUUUUCAGUCUCUCUUCAUCGCUUUCUUUCUUCUUCUCCUGCAACUAAAGCGUGAACAUGAAUCCAUGAAAGAGAAGCAGCUGGUUGUCGACCACCAUCGAAGAAUCUGGGCUCUGUUCACGGCGACCUGCAUCAUGGGACUCCUCUCACUGUAACAAGGCUCCUCGCGCAGAGCAUAUCCCAGAUCCGUGAAGGUACACAUCGAAUCCCAGAUCCGGCAAUCACACCUCCUCCCACCGCAGUCACCUCUCCUCUCUUGCGAGAAAGGAAUCCAACACGCCAGGGACGUCUUGGGAGGGAGCAUGUCUUCUCUUCACCGACGCCUGAAUCCCAGGGACGAAGAAGAAGAAGAACCAUGGCUGGAUGGUCAUAAGAUGAAGAAGACAAGAAGACGGCGGCUGGGAAUAGGUUUAGAUAGUAAUUAGGGUUAAUCUUUGUUUAGGUUUUUGGUUUAUUUGGUUUAAUACUUUUAAUUUGUAAAUCAUAUUUUUUUUUGUAAACCAGUUUAAUUAUCAAUCAUUUUAUUUAAUAAAAAAUUAAAUAUAUAAACGAGUUUAAUUUUUAA